CAGGUCUUGACAUCUUGCGCUAACCUUAGAGAUAAGGCGUUCCCUUCGGGGACGCAAUGACAGGUGGUGCAUGGUCGUCGUCAGCUCGUGUCGUGAGAUGUUGGGUUAAGUCCCGCAACGAGCGCAACCCUUGUUACUAGUUGCCAGCAUUAAGUUGGGCACUCUAGUGAGACUGCCGGUGACAAACCGGAGGAAGGUGGGGACGACGUCAGAUCAUCAUGCCCCUUAUGACCUGGGCUACACACGUGCUACAAUGGACGGUACAACGAGUCGCAAGCUCGCGAGAGUAAGCUAAUCUCUUAAAGCCGUUCUCAGUUCGGACUGUAGGCUGCAACUCGCCUACACGAAGUCGGAAUCGCUAGUAAUCGCGGAUCAGCAUGCCGCGGUGAAUA
rnacentral:rRNA from 1 species